rnacentral:rRNA from 1 species
AACGAACGCUGGCGGCAUGCCUAACACAUGCAAGUCGAACGAGACCUUCGGGUCUAGUGGCGCACGGGUGCGUAACGCGUGGGAACCUGCCUUUAGGUUCGGAAUAACUCAGAGAAAUUUGAGCUAAUACCGGAUGAUGUCUUCGGACCAAAGAUUUAUCGCCUUUAGAUGGGCCCGCGUUGGAUUAGCUAGUUGGUGGGGUAAAGGCCUACCAAGGCGACGAUCCAUAGCUGGUCUGAGAGGAUGAUCAGCCACACUGGGACUGAGACACGGCCCAGACCCCGACGGGAGGCAGCAGUGGGGAAUAUUGGACAAUGGGCGAAAGCCUGAUCCAGCAAUGCCGCGUGAGUGAAUAAGGCCUUAGGGUUGGAAAGCCCUUUUACCCGAGAUGAUAAUGAACGUAUUGGGAGAAUAAGCUCCGGCUAACUCCGUG